CCUACGGGAGGCAGCAGUGAGGAAUGUUGGUCAAUGGACGAGAGUCUGAACCAGCCAAGUAGCGUGAAGGAUGACUGCCCUAUGGGUUGUAAACUUCUUUUAUAUGGGAAUAAAACAGGGUAUGCAUACCCUCUUGUAUGUACCAUAUGAAUAAGGAUCGGCUAACUCCGUGCCAGCAGCCGCGGUAAUACGGAGGAUCCGAGCGUUAUCCGGAUUUAUUGGGGUUAAAGGGAGCGUAGGUGGAUUGUUAAGUCAGUUGUGAAAGUUUGCGGCUCAACCGUAAAAUUGCAGUUGAAACUGGCAGUCGUGAGUACAGUAGAGGUGGGCGGAAUUCGUGGUGUAGCGGUGAAAUGCUUAGAUAUCACGAAGAACUCCGAUUGCGAAGGCAGCUCACUGGACUGCAACUGACACUGAUGCUCGAAAGUGUGGGUAUCAAACAGGAUUAGAUACCCUAGUAGUC
rnacentral:rRNA from 1 species